GGGAGGCCUCAGUGUCUCCUCUCCUUCGGGAGAACGGAAGGAUGCCUGUGGCCUACAUGUUUCCUGAUCCUCGCCUACGCCGUCUCUCCUUCGAAUACCCUGGAUCAGCCGGGGCUGGACCCCAGCAGAAUUGGGAGGGAAAUCUGUAGAGUGUGUGACCUGGACACCAUUGGAAGAGUGUUCCAAGAAAGAAGUGUCUCCUGCUGCUGACAUUUCAAAGUGAGAUUGAGAGGAUCCUGGACUAGAUGGCAGAGAAGGUCAUGUCCUUGUGGUGGUGGAGGGCAAAGGCAGAAAUGAGAAGGAGUUGAAGGGUGCUCUGAAGUGAAGAAAUGAAAGGGUGAUGACCUCACAUGUAUUACGAAAUAAAUGACCAUUUAUUGAACACACAAAGAUGGAUUUUUUUUUUUCCUUUGCCUGUGUUGUUCCUUCUGCACAGUUGAAGGGUGCUCUGAAGUGAAGAAAUGAAAGGGUGAUGACCUCACAUGUAUUACGAAAUAAAUGAUCAUUUAUUGAACACACAAAGAUGGAUUUUUUUUUUUCCUUUGCCUGUGUUGUUCCUUCUGCACAGACUGUUUAUACUUCCUUGAUUUGUCGAGUAAUUCAUUUCUCUUUUUAAGAUCAGGUUAGAUGAAAGCCUUUUCUCCUUAUGAAUAUGGGUUUUCACUAAUCCAUAAAUUCAUUCUUAAUAUGUAGCAUAAUAUCCACUUCAGGGUACUUCUUAUGCAACAAGUCAUCCAAGCAUGGGCUUUUGAGUCAGUCAGACUUGAAUUUGAAUGCCUGUCCAGUUGCUUACUCACUCUGUGACUUUGCAGAGUUUAUUUUUAUCCCUGUGCCUUAUUUUUCUCAUCAAUAAAACUUUCAGAAUGUGGCAGGUAUGAUAAGACCUACCUCAGAGAGGUUCUGUGAGUACUUAAUUACAUAAUACAUUACAAAUGCCAAAGUGUCCAGCAUUACAAGCAAUCAGUAAAUGUGAGUUGCUUAUAUCCUUUGCUUUGGGAUUUUUUUUUUUUUUCUCUGAAUAGUUUCAAACACCCUAAACCCUUCUCCUUCCUUCCAUCUUAUACAUUGUUCCUCAUGGGUCUUGUUGAUUUUCUUUUCAUAACCUUGGUUUUCUUUUUCCCAGGCUUGAUCUAAUGGCCUGGGAAAAUGGCCUUGGUCUAAUGGCCACAUAUGGAAGGAGCAAAGAAGGUCCGCCCUGACAACUCUGAGGAACUUUGGUUUAGGAAGGAAAAGCUUAGAAGAGUGCAUUCAGGAAGAGGCCGCCUACCUCAUCCAGACAGUAGGAGAGGAGAACGAGACCAAUGGAGCUGGACUAAAACGAGUAAGAGAGAGCAAGAUGGCAGGGAGUGAUGGCUGAGGAGGCAACAGGAGGGUAAGGAACCAGAUUGUGUAGAGCUCCAAGCCAGGAGAAGGAUGUAGAAUUUGUCUAAAUGUCUUGGAAAGUCAUUGGAGGAUUGAAAACCAAAAAGUGAAAUGAUCCCAUUAAACUGUUAAAUGAUCCCUUGGGCAGCUCAGUGCAAAAUAGACUGGGAAGGAGGUUAGGAGAGAAUCAGGAAAAAUGUUGGAGGCUUUACAGCAUCCAGGUAAGAAAUGUUAGUGUUUUGUACGAGGAUGACAAAGCAGAAGUGAGAAGUGGUCCAAGACUGGUUAUAUUUUGAAUGGAGUGCCAAAAUGCUUUGCCAGAGGGGAAAAGAGGGUUGAGAUAGGAAUGAUAAGUCCAGGGUGACUCUGAUGGUUCAGUUCAGUUCAGUUCAGUCGCUCAGUCAUGUCCGACUCUUUCUGACCCCAUGGACUGCAGUCCGCCAGGCCUCCCUGUCUAUCACCAACGCACGGAGUUUAC